UACGUAGGGUGCAAGCGUUAAUCGGAAUUACUGGGCGUAAAGCGUGCGCAGGCGGUUUAGUAAGACAGAUGUGAAAUCCCCGGGCUUAACCUGGGAACCGCAUUUGUGACUGCAUAGCUGGAGUACGGCAGAGGGGGAUGGAAUUCCGCGUGUAGCAGUGAAAUGCGUAGAUAUGCGGAGGAACACCGAUGGCGAAGGCAAUCCCCUGGACCUGUACUGACGCUCAUGCACGAAAGCGUGGGGAGCAAACAGG
rnacentral:rRNA from 1 species